GAUGAACGCUGGCGGCGUGCCUAAUACAUGCCAGUCGAGCGAACGGACGAGAAGCUUGCUUCUCUGAUGUUAGCGGCGGACGGGUGAGUAACACGUGGAUAACCUACCUAUAAGACUGGGAUAACUUCGGGAAACCGGAGCUAAUACCGGAUAAUAUUUUGAACCGCAUGGUUCAAAAGUGAAAGACGGUCUUGCUGUCACUUAUAGAUGGAACCGCGCUGCAUUAGCUAGUUGGUAAGGUAACGGCUUACCAAGGCAACGAUGCAUAGCCGACCUGAGAGGGUGUUCGGCCACACUGGAACUGAGACACGGUCCAGACUCCUACGGGAGGCAGCAGUAGGGAAUCUUCCGCAAUGGGCGAAAGCCUGACGGAGCAACGCCGCGUGAGUGAUGAAGGUCUUCGGAUCGUAAAACUCUGUUAUUAGGGAAGAACAUAUGUGUAAGUAACUGUGCACAUCUUGACGGUACCUAAUCAGAAAGCCACGGCUAACUACGUG
rnacentral:rRNA from 1 species